CACAUACUUUCAGAGCCCAGAUAAGCUCAGGCUUCAUGAAACCCUGCUUUAUAUUUGCCCACUGUAAUGUCUCUGUGGGGUCAGGGAAUAUGGGGAAGCACUGUCGGCGAAAAGCAAAUCGAAGAUGCAGGAGUUAAAACCAAUGGAUGGUUCCAAUGGAUGGGAUCUGGGACUAUGUGAGGAUAUUGUGACCACGUCAGGUCUCUAAAAGUCAUUCAAUUGAAACAACUGUAGAAGGAGAAAAUCAGCGGCUCACAACUCAUCCAAUGCGAGGGUCAUGCCCUGUGAAAAGGGGUCACAAGAAGACAUAGAGCCUUAUUUAAACCCUCUAUGGCACGGUGUGUCCAAAGGUGCAAAGGGGGACAGGUUUGUGGUCCUUUGCUCGUGGAUCCUCUGCUGUCUCCUAAUCCUCUGUCCCAUCAGCAACUCCAGUUGACGGCAUGUGAGCAAAUGCACUGAUAUUUAACUGAGGAUGAUGAGCGCUGCUGGCAUCCCUGUAUGUGUGAGUGUAAGAGCAUUGUGAACCUGCUUUUGUAGGCACAUCUUACUAUCUGUAUUAUGUGAACUUCAAAUAGCAAGAAAAUACUGUGCGAUUGACUUUAGAUCAAAUUUUUGUUGGUCAAUGUCACAAUGCACCAACAAUGUACCUGACCGCAUGCCCAUCACUGCACAACUGGGCACAAUUACAUUUGCUACUUACACAACAUGGCCGCUGGCCAUGAGAAUGACAACUGCUUCAGUCAGACACUAGCAAUGACACGUGCACUGUGCGCUGCUUUGCAUCGGGUAGAAGAUGGAGCCCAAAGUGUGCUUCCAACUUUGUGGCAACAGGUUGGGAAAGGCCAAUUCAUGUUUCCCCAUGACAGUGCCGCUGUGUCCAUAAAGAAAUGGGUUUCUUGGAUUGGAGUGGAAAAUAGCGCUUGGAUUGGAGUGGAAAAUAACGAUUUGUUGAUUAAAAGAAAAUGUGUCCACAACUAAUUUGAUAAUCAAAUCAUCAUCAUUUUGAAUGCACAAA